GCUUUGCCUUCCAUCAUGACUGUAAGUUUCCUGAGGUCUCCCCAGCAAUGCAGAGUGAGGCAGAAAAGGGGAGAAAAAGAAGAAAAAGGAGGAGAAAAGGUAAAAGAAAAGAAGAGAAUGAAUUGCAGCUGAGGAAGUGGAAGAGCGAGAAGCGCUUCCAGAUUCCAGCCCAUUGGAGCCACCAGCUAAAACCUGGGGAGUGAAUGAGCCCAGUCCCGAGUGGAGCAGAAGACCCAUCCAGUGAAGCCCGGCCUGAAUUCCUGACUAACAGGCUUAACAAGUGGACUUUUGGGUUUGCUGAAGAAGAAAAAGAAGGAGAAGGAGAGGAAGAAGAGAAGUGUAAUUAACAAGAAAAAAACUUAUUUGGGGGCUAUGAACACCUUGAAUAUUUAACAGAAUAUCAG